GACGUGAAACCCAGUGCUUGCAUUGGGGAGUAAAGUGGCGAACGGGUGAGUAACACGUUGGUGACCUGUCCCGAGGAGGGGGAUAACCGUGGGAAACCACGGCUAAUACCCCAGAUGUUUAAGUGCUUAGACAGCUUAGACUAAAGCUCCGGCGCCUCGGGAGGGGCCUGCGGGCUAUCAGCUUGUUGGUGGGGUAAUGGCCUACCAAGGCGAAGACGGCUAGGGGGCGUGAGAGCGCGAUCCCCCACAAUGGAACUGAGACACGGUCCAUACUCCUACGGGAGGCAGCAGUGAGGAAUAUUGCACAAUGGGGGCAACCCUGAUGCAGCAACGCCGCGUGAACGAUGAAGGCCUUUGGGUUGUAAAGUUCUUUUCUGAGGGAAGAUAAUGACGGUACCUCAGGAAUAAGUCCCGGCUAACUACGUGCCAGCAGCCGCGGUAAAACGUAGGGGGCGAGCGUUAUCCGGAUUUAUUGGGCGUAAAGCGCACGUAGGUGGCGCUGUAAGUUGGACGUGAAAGCUCUCGGCUCAACUGAGAGAGGUCGUUCAAAACUGCAGGGCUUGAGGUUGGAAGAGGAGAGUGGAAUUCCCGGUGUAGUGGUGGAAUGCGUAGUUAUCGGGAGGAACACCAGUGGCGAAGGCGACUCUCUGGUCCACACCUGACGCUGAGGUGCGAAAGCGUGGGGAGCGAACGGGAUUAGAUACCCCGGUAGUCCACGCCGUAAACGAUGGAUACUAGGUGUA
rnacentral:rRNA from 1 species